CCGCCGGCGACCGGCGCACGGGUGAGUAACACGUAUGCAACCUGGCCGUGACAGAUGGAUAACCGGGAGAAAUCCCGCCUAAUACAACAUAAUGCCGGGAGGGGACAUCCCCUGCCGGCCAAAGGGGGCGACCCCGGUCACGGAUGGGCAUGCGGCGCAUUAGGUAGUUGGUGGGGUAACGGCCCACCGAGGCGACGAUGCGUAGGGGUUCUGAGAGGAAGGUCCCCCACACUGGUACUGAGACACGGACCAGACUCCUACGGAAGGCAGCAG
rnacentral:rRNA from 1 species